rnacentral:rRNA from 1 species
AACGCUGGCGGCGUGCUUAACACAUGCAAGUCGAACGAGAAGAGAUGAGGAGCUUGCUUCUUAUUAAUUCGAGUGGCAAACGGGUGAGUAACGCGUAAGCAACCUGCCCUUCAGAUGGGGACAACAGCUGGAAACGGCUGCUAAUACCGAAUACGUCUUUUUGUCGCAUGGCAGAGGGAAGAAAGGGAGGCUCUUCGGAGCUUUCGCUGAAGGAGGGGCUUGCGUCUGAUUAGCUAGUUGGAGGGGUAACGGCCCACCAAGGCGACGAUCAGUAGCCGGUCUGAGAGGAUGAACGGCCACAUUGGGACUGAGACACGGCCCAGACUCCUACGGGAGGCAGCAGUGGGGAAUCUUCCGCAAUGGACGAAAGUCUGACGGAGCAACGCCGCGUGGGUGAAGAAGGUCUUCGGAUCGUAAAGCUCUGUUGAGAGGGACGAGAGACAUAAUCAGGAAAUGAGCUUUGUAGGACGGUACCUUUCGAGGAAGCCACGGCUAACUACGUG